ACUUGUCGCGGUUCUCUACUAAACUAAAUGUCAGGAAUCAAUGACUGAGGGGUCAGAGGAGCAUCUCUUUAUGAUACAGAAAGAUAACGAUAUGUACACGUGACUGAACCUUCGGGCCAUCACUGAGCACUGAAACAGACAAAAACCCGGUGGAACAGAUGCCGGGAUCAAUUCAGCCGUGAUCUAACUGCCAAAGGCCGGAGUGGGGAAGGCAGCUCCAAGAAAAGGCCAUACUUGUACACGGCCAAUUUUUGAGGCCGGUGAUGGAUUUGAGGCCUACUGUGGACAGUCUGGAUGACCCAGAGGACUCUGAGACGGGUGAAAGUGACAGUCUGGCAGUAUUUUCCCCUGCAAGUAGUCCUGCCCUAACAUUGGCUGAGGAACCUGACCAGCCAUCACUGGCCCAGCCCACCCUUUCACCACGGAGCCCUGAAAGAGCCCUGAAAGAGUACAGCAGCGGCAGCCCAGGCGUCACCACAAUGUCCCUCACUCUUCCUCUGGGAAACCGACUCGGGAGAUGAUAGAUGCCCGAGUCAUUGAAUUCCUUGCCCAGAGGAGGAGUGAUGGCAUUGAAGAGUCGAUGUUGAGGGGCCUUGCUCCUUUAUUGAAGCAGGUCCAUACAGAAAAACAUCACGAGGGUGUUGCUUCGGUGGCCCUUGUAAUCAAAAUGUAUGCCUCCCCUUACCAGGGAGACAUACACUCGCAAAUUAAUGACUUGCGAAGACACAUAUUGAACAUCCCACCUCUCCAGCAUGGACGCAGCUACCACCAGCCUCCACACCCACCUCAAGGUCCAUCUUUCCCCCAACCACCAUACCACCGGUCACAAGACCCUACACCACCUGUUGGGCAGCCAAGUUAUCAGCCGAGUUUGGCAACUGGGGCCACAGAUCCUGGCCAUGUACGGCCAGGCUCAACAUAUGGGCCUGGCUUGUUUACGCAAGACCUGUUUGACCAUUGAUUUGAUAUGGUCCAAUGUUAUAUUUUGUGUUAUUUCUUUUUUUUUUAUCGUUUAUGUGAU